GGAACAGCUGCUAAUACCGGAUACGAACUCAGCAGGCAUCUGCCGAGUUGGAAAGCUCCGACGGUCAAGGAUGGGGCUCGCGGCCUAUCAGCUCGUUGGUGAGGUAACGGCUCACCAAGGCGACGACGGGUAGCCGGCCUGAGAGGGCGACCGGCCACACUGGGACUGAGAUACGGCCCAGACUCCUACGGGAGGCAGCAGUGGGGAAUAUUGCGCAAUGGGCGAAAGCCUGACGCAGCAACGCCGCGUGCGGGAUGACGGCCUUCGGGUUGUAAACCGCUUUCAGCAGGGACGAAACUGACGGUACCUGCAGAAGAAGCACCGGCUAACUACGUGCCAGCAGCCGCGGUGAUACGUAGGGUGCGAGCGUUGUCCGGAAUUAUUGGGCGUAAAGAGCUCGUAGGCGGUCUGUCACGUCGGAAGUGAAAACUCGGGGCUCAACCCCGAGCCUGCUUUCGAUACGGGCAGACUUGAGGAAUGUAGGGGAG
rnacentral:rRNA from 1 species